ACUACAAAGGGAACGAGAGAGCCAUGUUGCUGCCCAACUGUCUCUUCCGCAUGGGAUCCGCGGCAAUUCUUAUGUCAAACCGUCGGUCUGACCGGUGGAGAGCCAAGUACAAGCUCUGCCACCUUGUCCGGACCCACCGUGGCGCUGACGACAAGUCUUACUACUGCGUCUAUGAACAGGAAGAUAGAGAAGGAAAGAUUGGCAUCAACUUGUCCAAAGAUCUUAUGGCCAUCGCCGGUGAAGCUCUCAAGGCUAACAUCACCACAAUAGGUAAUAAUAAUACAUAUCAUUUAAUUCACUUUAAUACCCUAACAAUAAUAUAAACGGUGGAAAAGUAUUUUAAGGGGUGGGUGGGUGAUUCAACUAUUUUGGUUCUUGUUCAGUGUGAAUCUUUUGAAUCGGUUAGUUUUUUUUUUUUGAUAAACAAAUUACAUACCGCUAUAAUUUUUUUUUAUAAUUAAACAAUAAUUAGGAAUGUCUUGUUUGUAGGAGAAUUUUGCUUAUCGAUUCGAUUGCAUGAAACUCGAUCGGUUUGUUAAAGUAUCAUCAAUGUCAAGAGUAUCUAACCAUAUAAAGCUAAUAUUUUAUUAAAAUUUAUUUGUGUAGUUAAAUUUAAAAUAAAAAAUAAAUCAAUUAACACUUGACACAUUUAGAUGGGUAUCUCACAAUUUAGAUUUGGAUAUCUCAUAUGAGAUACUCUCCUUUUCAAAUCUCAUUUUCUUUCAUACUUUUUCAAUUUAUUCCAUACUUUUAAUUGGUAGAGACUCUUGGAGAUACUAAUGAUAUAAUUUAUUUGGUUUGAUUUUGGUUUGAAAAAUUAGUGUUCCGUUGGGGUUUAUUCAAGAAGUCGAUUGAACGGUUCAGUUUUCGGUUUCGAUUGGUUAAAAGAAAAUUUUGGUUUUGGUUUCAAAUGCGAAUCCUUGAACGUUCUGGUCUAGGCGAAGAGACUUGUCUCCCUCCAGCUAUUCAUUACAUUCCUCCUACACCAACCAUGGACGAGGCAAGAAGCGAGGCUCAGAUGGUUAUCUUCACGGCUAUGGAUGAUCUCUUCAAGAAAACUGGUCUCCUGCCUAAAGACAUCGACAUACUCAUUGUCAACUGCUCUCUCUUCUCGCCCACCCCAUCGCUCUCAGCAAUGGUCAUCAACAAAUAUAAGCUUAGGAGCAACAUUAAAAGCUUUAAUCUCUCCGGGAUGGGCUGCAGCGCGGGCCUGAUCUCAGUCGAUCUGGCCCGUGAUCUCCUUCAGGUUCAUCCCAAUUCUAAUGCGGUCAUUGUCAGCACUGAGAUCAUAACUCCUAAUUACUACAAAGGGAACGAGAGAGCCAUGUUGCUGCCCAACUGUCUCUUCCGCAUGGGAUCCGCGGCAAUUCUUAUGUCAAACCGUCGGUCUGACCGGUGGAGAGCCAAGUACAAGCUCUGCCACCUUGUCCGGACCCACCGUGGCGCUGACGACAAGUCUUACUACUGCGUCUAUGAACAGGAAGAUAGAGAAGGAAAGAUUGGCAUCAACUUGUCCAAAGAUCUUAUGGCCAUCGCCGGUGAAGCUCUCAAGGCUAACAUCACCACAAUAGGUAAUAAUAAUACAUAUCAUUUAAUUCACUUUAAUACCCUAACAAUAAUAUAAACGGUGGAAAAGUAUUUUAAGGGGUGGGUGGGUGAUUCAACUAUUUUGGUUCUUGUUCAGUGUGAAUCUUUUGAAUCGGUUAGUUUUUUU
rnacentral:lncRNA from 1 species